CACGUAGGGUGCGAGCGUUGUCCGGAUUCAUUGGGCGUAAAGGGUGCGUAGGCGGUUUUUUAAGUUUGAUGUGAAAUCCCGGGGCUCAACCCUGGAAUUGCAUUGAAUACUGAAGAACUAGAGAUCUGGAGAGGAAACUGGAAUUUACGGUGUAGCAGUGAAAUGCGUAGAGAUCGUAAGGAAGACCAGUGGCGAAGGCGAGUUUCUGGACAGAUACUGACGCUGAGGCACGAAGGCCAGGGGAGCAAACGGG
rnacentral:rRNA from 1 species